rnacentral:rRNA from 1 species
GACGAACGCUGGCGGCGUGCUUAACACAUGCAAGUCGAGCGAUGAAACACCUUCGGGUGCGGAUUAGCGGCGAACGGGUGAGGAACACGUGAGGAAUCUGCCUUCCACUCUGGGAUAACUCCGGGAAACCGGGGCUAAUACCGGAUACUUUCAACUGGCGGCAUCGCCGGUUGAAGAAAGUUUUUCGGUGGAAGAUGACCUCGCGGCCUAUCAGCUUGUUGGUGAGGUAAAGGCUCACCAAGGCGACGACGGGUAGCCGGCCUGAGAGGGCGACCGGCGACAAUGGGACUGGGACACAGCCCAGACUGCUACGGGAGGCAGCAGUGGGGAAUAUUGGGCAAUGGAGGAAACUCUGACCCAGAGACGCCGCGUGAGGGAUGACGGCCUUCGGGUUGUAAACCUCUUUCAGCACCGACGAAGCGCAAGUGACGGUAGGUGCAGAAGAAGGACCGGCCAACUACGUGCCAGCAGCCGCCGUAA